rnacentral:misc_RNA from 1 species
GAUGAAGAACGUAGCGAAAUGCGAUACGUAGUGUGAAUUGCAGAAUUCAGUGAAUCAUCGAAUCUUUUAACGCACAUUGCGCCCUUUGGUAUUCCAAAGGGCAUGCCUGUUCGAGCGUCAUUUGUACCUUCAAGCUUUGCUUGGUGUUGGGCGUUUUUUGUCUCCCUCUUUCUGGGAGACUCGCCUUAAAACGAUUGGCAGCCGGCCUACUGGUUUCGGAGCGCAGCACAUAUUUUGCGCUUUGUAUCAGGAGAAAAGGACGGUAAUCCAUCAAGACUCUACAUUUUUAACUUUUGACCUCGGAUCAGGUAGGGAUACCCGCUGAACUUAAGCAUAUCAAUAAGCGGAGGA